UGAUAUCCUUGAGCUAAUACA
rnacentral:miRNA from 1 species